AAGCAUGGUGAGGACAUUUUCUAAGCAUCUCCUUAAAUCUCUCCCAACUUACAUUAAUUCAUUAUCCUUUAAACUGGAUAUAAUAAGUGGUAUCAUUUCUAAGCUU